rnacentral:rRNA from 1 species
UACGUAGGGGGCAAGCGUUAUCCGGAUUUACUGGGUGUAAAGGGAGCGUAGACGGUGAUGCAAGUCUGGAGUGAAAUGCCGGGGCCCAACCCCGGAACUGCUCUGGAAACUGUGAAGCUGGAGUGCAGGAGAGGUAAGCGGAAUUCCUGGUGUAGCGGUGAAAUGCUUAGAUAUCACGAAGAACUCCGAUUGCGAAGGCAGCCUGCUGGACUGUAACUGACGCUGAUGCUCGAAAGCGUGGGGAGCAAACAGG